rnacentral:rRNA from 1 species
UACGAAGGGUGCUAGCGUUGUUCGGAAUCACUGGGCGUAAAGCGCGCGUAGGCGGCGAACCAAGUCAGAGGUGAAAUCCCAGAGCUUAACUCUGGAACUGCCUUUGAAACUGGUUUGCUAGAGUACUGGAGGGGAGUGGGGAAUUCCUAAUGUAGAGGUGAAAUUCGUAGAUAUUAGGAGGAACACCGGUGGCGAAGGCGCCACUCUGGACAGUAACUGACGCUGAGGCGCGAAAAGCGUGGGGAUCAAACAGG